rnacentral:rRNA from 1 species
CGAGCGGUAGCACAAGAGAGCUUGCUCUCUGGGUGACGAGCGGCGGACGGGUGAGUAAUGUCUGGGAAACUGCCUGAUGGCGGGGGAUAACUAGUGGAAACGGUAGCUAAUACCGCAUAACGUCGCAAGACCAAAGUGGGGGACCUUCGGGCCUCACGCCAUCAGAUGUGCCCAGGUGGGAUUAGCUGGUAGGUGGGGUAACGGCUCACCUAGGCGACGAUCCCUAGCUGGUCUGAGAGGAUGACCAGCCACACUGGAACUGAGACACGGUCCAGACUCCUACGGGAGGCAGCAGUGGGGAAU